ACAGCAGUCGCCACGGUAAAACGUAGGGUGCGAGCGUUAAUCGGAAUUACUGGGCGUAAAGCGUGCGCAGGCGGCCCGUUAAGGCAGGUGUGAAAUCCCUGGGCUCAACCUAGGAAUUGCGCUUGUGACUGGCGGGCUCGAGUACGGUAGAGGGGGGUGGAAUUCCUGGUGUAGCAGUGAAAUGCGUAGAGAUCAGGAGGAACACCGAUGGCGAAGGCAGCCCCCUGGGCCUGUACUGACGCUCAUGCACGAAAGCGUGGGGAGCAAACAGGAUUAGAUACCCCCGUAGUCCCUGUCUCUUAUAC
rnacentral:rRNA from 1 species